rnacentral:rRNA from 1 species
AUGGUGCCGAAGCUCUUGGAUUUCUUACAUGAAAAUCACGAGUUUCGGAAGAACCUGGAGCAUGACAUCAAGUACAUCAAAGACGAGUUUGACAUGAUUUCUGCCGUCAUCCAGGAUGAGCAAAACAGUAGCUAUGGAAGGGGUGAAGAGGUGCAUAAGGAGUGGAUCAGGAUGGUACGUGAGGUGGCGCACGCCAUUGAAGACUGCAUCGACCGCUUCAUGCACCGCGUGAGGAGGGCCAAGACAGGGGCCGGGUGGCUCCGUCGGGCUCUCCACCGGGUGAAGACGGUGAAGGCCCGUAACGAGUUUGCCAUGGCUAUCCAGGAGCUCAAGAAGAUAUCAGAGGAUGCGUCCAAGCUGAGAGGAGCAUACUGUAGCAACACCACCUCUUCGCCAGGGCGGCCGCUGUCGUCUGAGCAGACGGAGACGGAACCUGCGACCGAAGGCGACGAAGAUGACAACCAUUCAGCACCAUCCUGCCCUGUUCCCAUGGGUAUGGACGAUCCCCGCGACGAGCUUCUGCAUCUGAUCCAGCUGAAGCAGCAGUUCAAGGUUAUCACCAUUGUUGGGUUCCAUGGUAUGGGCAAGACUCUCCUCGCCAAUCAUGUGUACAAGGCAAUUGAGAGCAAAAGUGAAUACGAAGCACGGGCUUGGGUUCCUCCAGCGAAACUGCGAGGAACAGCCUCCAAUAUUCUCAGGGAUAUACUCAGGCAACUUGGCCAUCCCACCGACGGCCGUCUCACCAAGCUUCAGCAAAGCAUCAAAGAUUGCAUUGGGGCCAAAAGGUUCUUCAUUGCAAUUGAUGGCUUGCUGAAAGCAAGAUAUUAG